ACUCCUACGGGAGGCAUCAGUGGGGAAUAUUGCGCAAUGGACGAAAGUCUGACGCAGCGACGCCGCGUGGAGGAUGAAGGUUUUCGGAUCGUAAACUCCUGUCAAGAGGGAAGAAACCUAUUAUGAAUAAUACUCAUAGUAAUUGACGGUACCUCUAGAGGAAGCACCGGCUAAUUCAGUGCCAGCAGCCGCGGUAAUACUGAAGGUGCAAGCGUUAAUCGGAAUCACGUGGGCGUAAAGCGCUCGUAGGUGGCUUUGUAAGUCAGGUGUGAAACGCCCACGGCUCAACCGUGGAAUUGCACUUUGAUACUGCAUCGCUAGAGUAUAGGAGAGGGAAGUGGAAUUUCUGGUGUAGGAGUGAAAUCCGUAGAGAUCAGAAGGAACACCGUGGCGAAGGCGACUUCCUGGACUAUUACUGACACGUGAGGAGCGAAACG
rnacentral:rRNA from 1 species